rnacentral:rRNA from 1 species
AUUGAACGCUGGCGGCAUGCUUUACACAUGCCAGUCGAACGGCAGCGCGGGCUUCGGCCUGGCGGCGAGUGGCGAACGGGUGAGUAAUACAUCGGAACGUGCCCAGUAGUGGGGGAUAGCUCGGCGAAAGCCGGAUUAAUACCGCAUACGACCUGAGGGUGAAAGCGGGGGAUCUUCGGACCUCGCGCUAUUGGAGCGGCCGAUGGCAGAUUAGCUAGUUGGUGGGGUAAAGGCCUACCAAGGCGACGAUCUGUAGCUGGUCUGAGAGGACGACCAGCCACACUGGGACUGAGACACGGCCCAGACUCCUACGGGAGGCAGCAGUGGGGAAUUUUGGACAAUGGGCGAAAGCCUGAUCCAGCAAUGCCGCGUGUGUGAUGAAGGCCUUCGGGUUGUAAAGCACUUUUGGCGGGAACGAAAAGGACUGUGCCAAUACCACGGUUCGAUGGCGGUACCCGCAGAAUAAGCACCGGCUAACUACGUG